ACCGGCGCACGGGUGAGUAACACGUAUGGAACCUGCCCGUAGCAGGGGGAUAAGCGGAAGAAAUUCCGUCUAAUACCGCGUAAUAACUCCGAGAGGCAUCUCCUGGGGUUUAAAGGGUAACACCGGCUACGGAUGGCCAUGCGGCGCAUUAGCUAGUUGGCGGGGUAACGGCCCACCAAGGCGACGAUGCGUAGGGGUUCUGAGAGGAAGGUCCCCCACACUGGUACUGAGACACGGACCAGACUCCUACGGGAGGCAGCAGUGAGGAAUAUUGGUCAAUGGGCGCGAGCCUGAACCAGCCAAGUCGCGUGAGGGAAGACGGUCCUAUGGAUUGUAAACCUCUUUUGUCGGGGAGCAAAAGACGCCACGCGUGGCGUUCCGAGAGUACCCGAAGAAAAAGCAUCGGCUAACUCCGUGCCAGCAGCCGCGGUAAUACGGAGGAUGCGAGCGUUAUCCGGAUUUAUUGGGUUUAAAGGGUGCGCAGGCGGAAGAUCAAGUCAGCGGUAAAAUUGAGAGGCUCAACCUCUUCGAGCCGUUGAAACUGGUUUUCUUGAGUGAGCGAGAAGUAUGCGGAAUGCGUGGUGUAGCGGUGAAAUGCAUAGAUAUCACGCAGAACUCCGAUUGCGAAGGCAGCAUACCGGCGCUCAACUGACGCUCAUGCACGAAAGUGUGGGUAUCGAACAGGAUUAGAUACCCUGGUAGUCCACACAGUAAACGAUGAAUACUA
rnacentral:rRNA from 1 species